rnacentral:tRNA from 2 species
GAGACAUAGCUCAGCUGGGAGAGCAUUUGCUUGACGUGCAGGAGGUCGCAGGUUCGAGUCCUGUUGUCUCC